UCGGGCACCGCUCCCCGCUCACUUUGCUCCCCCCCCCCCGACAGGAAAGCGCUGGCGGGCCGCGACCCGGCGGGAGUUGUCCGGCCAGCGUUCACGCGAGCCCCAGGGAAUUUCCACCCCGACCCUCCCCCGUGUAUUUGAAAUGUCUGGGCCUGUUAGUCUGCAGUCGCCCAAAGAUCUAGUGUUCUUGGGCCGAGCCUCAGUUUCCGGAGGUUGGUUUCUAGAGACCCGCACUGCGAUCAGUUUUAAUUUUAUUAGUUUUUUAUAGUUCUGCAGCCGUUGUCAGAGCAGUUUUCUGCUCUCUGAAUGGUCUUUUCUCCUCUCCCAGUGUUUGCUUGCUGAGUUACAAAGAAUAAUAGUGGUCAGCACUUUUGUAGCAUUUGGUAACCUUACCUAAUCGGCGUUUGUGAGGCCCUGGGACUCCACCAAGUGCUGCGCAAGAAGUCUUUGACCUAGUGCCCUCUGGCGCUGGGUAGAGUGGGAGGGGGAGGCAGAGCGGUUGAGGGCUCUGAAGGAGUCGCUAAUUUCAGUGUGCAUCUUCAGGACUCUGCCCGGUUCCAACUAAGCUGUGAUCAGUUGUGCAGCUCUUACCUAGGUACUGUGAUCCUUGUGUUUUUACUGAUUGAGUUUUAGCGGUUAUAUUCCAGCUCGUAUUGGGGAACCGUGAUUUUCAUAGCCUAGCUGAUUAUAUGCUUAGCACGUCGGCCCUUUGUUACUUGUACUGUUGGGCGGGGGAGGCAUUUAUCUCAUUUUUCUUAGGGGAGAACUCAAGUUCAGUUGCUAUGAUUAUGAAGGAGUUUAAUUUUUGUAGUGUCUGUUUCCAGCCAAGUCCAUGCUUUUAUGCUUGCUUUGUAGAAAAAUCUUUUCUUCUUAUUAUAUAUCUUAAUACUUCCCAGACUGCAAGUUUUUUGCAACAUAUUAAUUUGAUUGCAUUUUCUUCUAAAGUCUGUAUUUCAUUAAUGUUUUAUCCUUCUGAUUCCCAUUUCUUCUCAGAUCAUGUUUUUGGACAUAUAUUGCCCUUUUUAUUGUGUACACGCCCUGGCUGCUGGGUUAUGGUGUCCCCAUAAUCUUUAUUAUACGUGAGAUGGGAGGAGUAGGUCCCUUUAACAUGAAAGUUUAUUAUACUACUUGAUACUUAAAAGAAAGUUUAGGUUGAGUGCAUGUGUAUCUCCCUGCUCCACCCAAAUCUCCUUAUGCUGUGAGAGUGAGAUUUGUUGUGGGCAGGUAUAAAAUAAUGUAUUUGUUUAAAAACAUCUAAACAACAUCUUAGUGACAAGAUAUUAGGGCCUUAAGCCCCCAAUAACAAUAUAGGAAAUGGGUCCAGAAACUAUUGUUGAUGGUCCCUUGAAGACAUCCGUGGAAGAGGAUUAGAAACUAAGUGGAAAGCAUCACUUCAGCUUUUGUACAAAUUCAGGUUGCUCAGUUCUUGGACUACUGUAUGCACUACUGGCCAAAAAAGUGUUAUGUUGCACAAAAAGGCACACAUGUAACACCUAAAAUUACGGGUAUGGUGUUGGAGCUUUCAUCUGAGAAAGGAGAGAGGAGCUUGACAGUGUUGGGCAUUCAGACUUGUGGAUCAAAUCCUUGAGUAGUUGGACCGGGGCGGCUUGCCUUUUGAAACCUAAGGGGUAAAAAAGAAAGCUAUUUACCCCACACAUUGGAGAUAUAAUGGAAUUGUCAUUCAAGAAGUUGAUAAGGACCAAAGAUUUAAAUAGUGGAUGAUCCCAGGGAGCAGUAGUUCUGUCCUUACAUAACAAGGUUUAAAAGAGCCUCAGCCACUGUAGGUGACAGCUUUAAUCCUGUGGAGGGGAACCGCACUUUCCUGCAUUAUAUCUCUGUGUGCCACUUUCAGCCAGUUGGUUGGUUUCGGCCCCCAAGCUGAUCCAUUUUUGCACUCUAUCCUGCAGCAUGCUGUUCGAGGCAGUAUUGCCUCAUUCUUCAUGCUGCUUGACCUACAGCUUUUGUCACAGGGUAAAUCAUUUGCUUAUUUAGUGCCACAGCUAUUAGUUGGUGUGGUUUGACUGUAGAUUGGAUCCAGUUCACUGUGGGGAAUUGGGAUGGUCUAUGCUGGAUCUGUGCUAACAUGGAAAAGUUACUUCUGUGCCUUACUAAUCUCUGAGGUAGGACUAGCCUUCUAGGAGUAUGGAGAGGAUCGAAUAAAGUAGCACACGUCAAGCACUUAGCACAGUGGCAUCUAGUAAGAGCUCACAGAAUGUUAGCUGCCUUCAGGGUUAUUACCAUCAUGGUGUUAUCCUUGUCCUUUUGUCAUUGUCCCCUCAUGCCACGCCCAUCUCUGAUCCUUGCUGCUAUGGUAGGCCUGUAAUGUUAAGAUGGAGAGCACUGGUUGUGAUUCUGUUCCAUCUUGCUUAAUCUUGAAGGCAAAUGCCAGUUGUUGACUGCAGUUUGUUCAGGGACCUCUGAAAAGAGGGAAGGCACUUUUUAUCCUCCUCAGUAAAGCCUUAAAAACACAAGCACAAACUAACGUAUAAGUUUAUGCUACUAAUUCACACUUAGCUUCACUCUCCAGAACUGUUUCUGAAGUAGUUUUUUUUUUU